rnacentral:rRNA from 1 species
AUUGAACGCUAGCGGCAUGCCUUACACAUGCAAGUCGAACGGCAGCGGGGGAGCUUGCUCCCGCCGGCGAGUGGCGAACGGGUGAGUAAUACACCGGAACGUACCCAGUAGCGGGGGAUAGCCCGGCGAAAGCCGGAUUAAUACCGCAUACGCCCUACGGGGGAAAGGGGGGGAUCGGAAGACCUCCCCCCAAUGGAGCGGCCGGUGGCUGACUAGCCAGUUGGUGGGGUAAAGGCCUGCCAAGGCGACGAUCAGUAGCUGGUCUGAGAGGACGACCAGCCACACUGGGACUGAGACACGGCCCAGACUCCUACGGGAGGCAGCAGUGGGGAAUUUUGGACAAUGGGCGAAAGCCUGAUCCAGCAAUGCCGCGUGUGCGAAGAAGGCCUUCGGGUUGUAAAGCACUUUUGUCAGGGAAGAAAUCGUUUGGGUUAAUACCCCGAGCAGUUGACGGUACCUGAAGAAUAAGCACCGGCUAACUACGUGCCAGCAGCCGCGGUAA